rfam:Triticum aestivum genome assembly, contig: Triticum_aestivum_CS42_TGACv1_scaffold_033192_1BL
UAGCUAUUCCCCCAUCUGAAAAAGCUUGUCCCAAGCUUUCCUUCAAAUGGGUGUAUCUAGCACUAACUUGGUGCCAGAUACAUCCAUUUAAGGGACAAGUUUUUUCGGACGGAGGGAGUAUGUA